GCUCUCAGGAUAGUUCAGUUGGUAAAGCAUGAUUCUCUUAAUCUCAGAGUUGUGGGUUCGAGUCUCAUGCUGAGCA